GACGAACGCUGGCGGCGUGCUUAACACAUGCAAGUCGAACGGAAAGGCCCUGCUUUUGUGGGGUGCUCGAGUGGCGAACGGGUGAGUAACACGUGAGUAACCUGCCCUUGACUUUGGGAUAACUUCAGGAAACUGGGGCUAAUACCGGAUAGGAGCUCCUGCUGCAUGGUGGGGGUUGGAAAGUUUCGGCGGUUGGGGAUGGACUCGCGGCUUAUCAGCUUGUUGGUGGGGUAGUGGCUUACCAAGGCUUUGACGGGUAGCCGGCCUGAGAGGGUGACCGGCCACAUUGGGACUGAGAUACGGCCCAGACUCCUACGGGUGGCAGCAGUGGGGAAUAUUGCACAAUGGGCGGAAGCCUGAUGCAGCAACGCCGCGUGCGGGAUGACGGCCUUCGGGUUGUAAACCGCUUUCGCCUGUGACGAAGCGUGAGUGACGGUAAUGGGUAAAGAAGCACCGGCUAACUACGUGCCAGCAGCCGCGGUGAUACGUAGGGUGCGAGCGUUGUCCGGAUUUAUUGGGCGUAAAGGGCUCGUAGGUGGUUGAUCGCGUCGGAAGUGUAAUCUUGGGGCUUAACCCUGAGCGUGCUUUCGAUACGGGUUGACUUGAGGAAGGUAGGGGAGAAUGGAAUUCCUGGUGGAGCGGUGGAAUGCGCAGAUAUCAGGAGGAACACCAGUGGCGAAGGCGGUUCUCUGGGCCUUUCCUGACGCUGAGGAGCGAAAGCGUGGGGAGCGAACAGGCUUAGAUACCCUGGUAGUCCACGCUGUAAACGGUGGGUACUAGGUGUGGGGUCCAUUCCACGGGUUCCGUGCCGUAGCUAACGCUUUAAGUACCCCGCCUGGGGAGUACGGCCGCAAGGCUAAAACUCAAAGGAAUUGACGGGGCCCCGCACAAGCGGCGGAGCAUGCGGAUUAAUUCGAUGCAACGCGUAGAACCUUACCUGGGUUUGACAUGGAUCGGGAGCGCUCAGAGAUGGGUGUGCCUCUUUUGGGGUCGGUUCACAGGUGGUGCAUGGCUGUCGUCAGCUCGUGUCGUGAGAUGUUGGGUUAAGUCCCGCAACGAGCGCAACCCUUGUUCACUGUUGCCAGCACGUUAUGGUGGGGACUCAGUGGAGACCGCCGGGGUCAACUCGGAGGAAGGUGGGGAUGACGUCAAGUCAUCAUGCCCCUUAUGUCCAGGGCUUCACGCAUGCUACAAUGGCUGGUACAGAGAGUGGCGAGCCUGUGAGGGUGAGCGAAUCUCGGAAAGCCGGUCUCAGUUCGGAUUGGGGUCUGCAACUCGACCUCAUGAAGUCGGAGUCGCUAGUAAUCGCAGAUCAGCAACGCUGCGGUGAAUACGUUCCCGGG
rnacentral:rRNA from 1 species